AUUGAACGCUGGCGGCAGGCCUAACACAUGCAAGUCGAACGGUAACAGGAAGACGCUUGCUUCUUUGCUGACGAGUGGCGGACGGGUGAGUAAUGUCUGGGAAACUGCCUGAUGGAGGGGGAUAACUACUGGAAACGGUAGCUAAUACCGCAUAACGUCGCAAGACCAAAGAGGGGGACCUUCGGGCCUCUUGCCAUCGGAUGUGCCCAGAUGGGAUUAGCUAGUAGGUGGGGUAACGGCUCACCUAGGCGACGAUCCCUAGCUGGUCUGAGAGGAUGACCAGCCACACUGGAACUGAGACACGGUCCAGACUCCUACGGGAGGCAGCAGUGGGGAAUAUUGCACAAUGGGCGCAAGCCUGAUGCAGCCAUGCCGCGUGUAUGAAGAAGGACUUCGGGUUGUAAAGUACUUUCAGCGGGGAGGAAGGGAGUAAAGUUAAUACCUUGGCUCAUUGACGUUACCCGCAGAAGAAGCACCGGCUAACUCCGUG
rnacentral:rRNA from 1 species